GGAGAGUGGUGUGGUUAGUGACCUCGCUGGCGAGAAGAUAGGAACCUGGCACUAGAGACGGGAGGAGGAAUCAUCUCCAAGACUGCCUCAUCCAUCCCCAUUUGUAUUUGAAAACUUUGCCUCCUGAAGGAUGACCAUGAUUUGGGCCGAACGAGCACAGCUCUCAGCAAGAUGACAAGAAAGACGAGCCCAGAGGGUGCUGAGUUCCGUUAGUCAAGCAAGGUCGCCAUAGAGUGUCUUUAAUAAAACAAAAUAAAAGC